AUGCAUAGGUUAUGCAUGUGGCAUAUAAUGGAAAAGGUGCCUGAAAAAGUUGGACCUUUGAUUAGAGAAGAUUCUGAAUUUUGGCCGAGGUUGAACUCAUGUGUUUGGGGUUCAGAAACUGCAAGUGAGUUUGAAUCACAAUGGAAUUCCAUCAUUACAGAUUUUGGGUUGGAGGAUAACGAGUGGUUAGCUAAGAGGUUUACCAUUAGAGAUACAUGGAUACCAGCCUACUUUAUGGAUAUAUCUCUUGCGGGCUUGCUCCGAACCACUUCAAGGUCAGAAAGUGCAAAUUCGUAUUUCAACCGUUUCAUUCAUCGUAGGCUUGCUUUUGUUGAGUUCUGGCUUAGGUUCGACACAGAUUUAGAAUGCCAACGUGAGGAAGAAUUAAUGGCAGACAAUAGAAGCAUGCAUACCACCCCACAACUAUUUACGCCAUGGACAAUGGAGAAACAAGGUAGUGAGGUAUUCACAUAUGAGGUAUUCGAGAAAUUUCAGCUACAAGUUAUUGCUGCUAGAGAUCAUUGUUGUGUUCAGGGUAUUGCACAAGGUGUGGGGUUAAAAAUGGUGACCCUGAGAGGUCGAUUUGGUAAGGUUAGGGAGGUCUCCUAUGACACUACAACCAUGAUAGCAAAUUGUCCGUGCAAGUUAUUUGAGUCAAUCGCUAUUCCAUGUCGACAUAUUAUCCAAGUGUUGAGGAUUGAGAACCAAAAUGAGCUUUUUUCCUUUGCAGGGAGAAUGUUUAUGAUGAAU
rnacentral:rRNA from 1 species